CCCCGCUCCCCGUGCGGCACCGGGCAGGGCCCGCGGGCACCGGGACCCCCGUUCGGUCCUCCCGGCCCCUGCGGAAGGAGGGGCCCGGGCGCUCCACAUCACCCGCUCCAGCCCCUCAUCACCCUCCCGCGGGGGUGCAGCCUCGGGGGGAUGGGGGUGAGGGGCCGCUGCUGCCCUCCGCUCUCCGGAAAGGCAGAGCCAGCGUGGGAGCGGUGCGGGAUGCGAGGAACACGCGCUCAGGGCGCCGUGCAGGGCUCUGCGGCUUGGAACGCGUUCCACGGCCCCUCGGUGCCCCCCAAAGUCCCUGCCGCCCCCCAGCUUGAGGUUCGAAGUGGGGUUGUGCUUCAGCCGGUAUCCCCCAGCAGCGGGAGGCACCCGCUUCGCCGGAGCCUGCCGGGAGCCACCGGGGCUGCCUGUCCUCGGCCGCCUGCGCACCGGCUCCAGGCUCCCGGGUCUUUCUGCGGGAGCUCGGCGGGGCGCGGGGUGCGGAGCCGGCGGGGAGACAUGCUCCAAGACUGCGGGUGCUCUGGCCGGGAUGGAGGAGCCAUGAGCCGCCGUGGAGUGAAGGGAAGAACGGUUUAGGGAGCCCCGGCUCCCGGGUGGCUCUAGGAAAGGACCUGGGUGCACUUGUUCUCCCCUCCGAUGCAUUGUGUUAAUGCCGAUUUUUCUUAUUUGGCGUUUUUUAUCUCCUUAUUUUCAUAGCGUUCGCAAAAAAUCAAAUUCUAAAAAAUCUAAACCCUCCCCAUCAAAAAAAAUUUCUCCUCUCUCCAAAGCGUAAAUAGCAAAAAUAAAUUCUCUAACUGUUUCUCGCGGCAGCGCUCUGGGGAGGGUUGAUGACAACGAGAUCCGCUGCCUUGUCUGCAGGCAGGACAGGGCCGGGGCUGCCUGUGCCUCACCUGAGUGCGGGCACGAAGGUUCGGCAAGGCACGGCACCACUAAAAAAAAAAAGAAAAUCACAACUGUGCACAACCCGAAAUAACCUCAGAAAUCCGCCGUUUCAGCAGAGCUGGCUGCAGUGCAUAAGUCGGAAUGGGAGAAGCAUCCCCAUCCCAGGUGCGCCCCGUCGGGGUCCGGUACCGGCGGUGGGAGCCGCGACUUCUCGCCAGCUUCGUGGAGACCCCGCUCCCCGCCGGGAGCUCAAAGCUGUCUGUCGGAUAAUGGGGCGGUGGGACUUUGUUUAACCCCGUUGCCCCUGGGGCCAGGGGUCAAGGGCUUCCUCUUCCCCCGGGACACGGCGGAGCCGCCGUUGGUCACAAGAGGAGGACGGCGGCGAGGAGGGGAAGCGAUGGCCGCAGUGCCCCCCUGUCCCCGCCGCGGCCCUCCCGUGCCAUCGCCCUGGGAUCCCGUGAAGCUCCUUCUCUCCCCGGCAUCGAGAGGCUGAGACGGGCUCCAGAUGGGUGUUUUGGGGGAGCAGGGGGAGGCCAAACAUCACCACGGGGCAGCGGGUGAUGAUGCAGAGAGGCAGCCCCUGCUUUCCAGCAUCCCGCCGUUCUGCUUUCCCCUCCCAGCUGGAGCAGGACCUUUUUAACGGGGUGCCGGUUUAAACGGUGUUUCACCCCCCCCCUCCACAGGUAGAGGUGUCUCAGCUGCCCCCCCGGAGCCAAGAAACGGGAGAAACGGGCAGUUUUUAUAGGCUGGGGAGGAGUCGAGACAGAGGGAAGGAAAAGAGAAAAGCAGAGCACCCCAACAUCCCGCUCUUUCCCUGCUCGGGAAGCGAGCCCCGGAGCUCCCAAAGUGAGCGCUGAAGAGGGCGACAGGAGACAGGCGGGAGCCGGCUCCGAGCUGGAGGGGUCGGGGGUGGGAUGACAGCAGAGGAGGACCCUCCUUUUCGGGAUUAAGGGAGAACCAGCGGAGGAGGGAAGCUGGCGGCACCGCGGGCAUCCGAGGUAAGUCCCUCUCGUGCCCGCAGCGGUGGUACCCGAGCCAGGGCGCUGCUGCGGGGGAUGCUUUGAGGGUUCAAAGGAGCCCGAUCCCGGGGGGAGCCCCUUCCCGGGGCUGCCCCAUCACAAGCCCUGCGCUCUGCGGGGCCGGGGCUGCUUUGGCGGCUGCGGCUCCUGUGGAAUCGGUGCCGGUGAUCCCGGCCCGGGGCUGCCGGCAGCGCCUGCCCCGCUCCGUGCCCGCUCCCUCGGGGCUGGGCCGGGGUCCCCCCGGGCCGAGCAGCCCCACGGAUCCCGCUCCCAGCCCCCGGGGCUCCUCCCGUGCGUGUCUCAAUUCGCUCAGGCUUGACUUGGCAAUAAGCUCUCUCAAUAGGGUGACAAUAGAGCCCCGGUGGGACCCGAACAAAGAAUUUGAAAGUAGUUAAAUUGCAGGACACGUCCAUCGCCUGGGUGCUUGAAUUAAAAAAAAAAAAAAAAAAAAAAG